rnacentral:rRNA from 1 species
CCUACGGGAGGCUGCAGUGGGGAAUAUUGCACAAUGGGCGCAAGCCUGAUGCAGCCAUGCCGCGUGUGUGAAGAAGGCCUUCGGGUUGUAAAGCACUUUCAGCGGGGAGGAAGGCGGUGAGGUUAAUAACCUCAUCGAUUGACGUUACCCGCAGAAGAAGCACCGGCUAACUCCGUGCCAGCAGCCGCGGUAAUACGGAGGGUGCAAGCGUUAAUCGGAAUUACUGGGCGUAAAGCGCACGCAGGCGGUCUGUCAAGUCGGAUGUGAAAUCCCCGGGCUCAACCUGGGAACUGCAUUCGAAACUGGCAGGCUAGAGUCUUGUAGAGGGGGGUAGAAUUCCAGGUGUAGCGGUGAAAUGCGUAGAAAUCUGGAGGAAUACCGGUGGCGAAGGCGGCCCCCUGGACAAAGACUGACGCUCAGGUGCGAAAGCGUGGGGAGCAAACAGGAUUAGAUACCCGAGUAGUC